UCCAGACUCCUACGGGAGGCAGCAGUGGGGAAUAUUGCACAAUGGGGGAAACCCUGAUGCAGCAACGCCGCGUGAGUGAAGAAGUAUUUCGGUAUGUAAAGCUCUAUCAGCAGGGAAGAGAAUGACGGUACCUGACUAAGAAGCCCCGGCUAACUACGUGCCAGCAGCCGCGGUAAUACGUAGGGGGCAAGCGUUAUCCGGAUUUACUGGGUGUAAAGGGAGCGUAGACGGCUGGCCAGGUCUAAAGUGAAAGCCCGGGGCUUAACCCCGGAACGGCUUUGGAAACUGGCCGGCUGGAGUGCUGGAGAGGCAGGCGGAAUUCCUGGUGUAGCGGUGAAAUGCGUAGAUAUCAGGAGGAACACCGGUGGCGAAGGCGGCCUGCUGGACAGUAACUGACGUUGAGGCUCGAAAGCGUGGGGAGCAAACAGGAUUAGAUACCCUCGUA
rnacentral:rRNA from 1 species